UUCGCAAUGCCCGAAAGGGUGACGAAGCGACGCCGCGUGGGUGAGGAAGGCCCUCGGGUUGUAAAGCCCUGUCAGGAGUUAAGAAAUGUAGAUACGCUAAUAUCGUAUCUAUUCGACAAAGGCUCCAAAGGAAGCCACGGCUAACGCUGUGCCAGCAGCCGCGGUAAUACAGAGGUGGCAAGCGUUGUUCGGAAUUAUUGGGCGUAAAGAGCACGUAGGUGGGUUUGUAAGUCAGAUGUGAAAGCCUUCUGUUCAACGGAAGAAUUGCAUCUGAAACUACAAACCUUGAGUUUAGGAGGGGAGAAUGGAACUUCUGGUGGAGCGGUGAAAUGCGUAGAUAUCAGAAGGAACGCCGGCGGCGAAAGCGAUUCUCUGGCCUAUUACUGACACUCAGUGUGCGAAAGCUAGGGGAGCAAACGGGAUUAGAUACCCCGGUAGUCCUAGCCGUAAACGAUGGGCACUAAGUAGAGGGGUUUU
rnacentral:rRNA from 1 species